UACGGAGGGUGCAAGCGUUAUCCGGAUUCACUGGGUUUAAAGGGUGCGUAGGCGGAUAGGUAAGUCCGGGGUGAAAUCCUCCAGCUCAACUGGAGAACAGCCUUGGAUACUGGUCGCCUCGAGGGAGGUAGGGGCGGGCGGAACUUCCGGUGGAGCGGUGAAAUGCGUAGAUAUCGGAAGGAACGCCGGUGGCGAAAGCGGCCCGCUGGACCUCUUCUGACGCUGAGGCGCGAAAGCCAGGGGAGCAAACGGG
rnacentral:rRNA from 1 species